rnacentral:piRNA from 1 species
UGCUGUAGUAAAAGGAAGACAAGAGCUCC